rnacentral:rRNA from 1 species
UACGGAGGUGGCAAGCGUUGCUCGGAAUUACUGGGCGUAAAGGGCUCGUAGGCGGCCAACUAAGUCAGACGUGAAAUCCCUCGGCUUAACCGGGGAACUGCGUCUGAUACUGGAUGGCUUGAAUCCGGGAGAGGGAUGCAGAAUUCCAGGUGUAGCGGUGAAACGCGUAGAUAUCUGGAGGAAUACCGGUGGCGAAGGCGGCAUCCUGGACCGGCAUUGACACUGAUGAGCGAAAGCCAGGGGAGCAAACAGG